CAUAACGUGAGUCAGGUAAUGAGGAAGGAGAGGUAUCGCACAUGUUGAGAGUGUGUUCUGCCAGCGAGGUCUGCUGUCUCAAUGAAAAAGUGCGUCAUCAUUUUGGAGACUACAAUAUUCGUUGUAAUAUAAGGCCCAAAGUGUAGAGUGACGACGAUUUUUUUAUUAUUAUAUGACGUGCUUUAUUUUCUGUUCUUAUUUGAAGUGCAUCUUUGUUUUGUUGUUUUCCGUGAUCCUGUGAGUCAUCACUCAGUAAGCCGUGUGUGAUGAUGGCUUAGCGGCUAUAGAGACAAUUGACUUUAUGAACAAAACAGCUGUGUUUAUGAAGCUAUUAGACGUUUGUGGUGGACUUCGGAAUUGCGUGAGAAACCGGACAGAUCGUGUGUGUCAUCGUUGGACGUAGAUCGACUGGAUUCAUCUCAUGUUCAAGACUGAUCGCGAGGGGAUGCUGAGUGUUCAUGUUGUGAGGAACCUAAUAUCGUUUCGCUGUCAUCGGAUGAACAUUUUGGGAGAGAGUGCUACCAGCAAAGACGGGGCAGGUGCAACUGCCACUUCAGAUCCUGAAGGUGAUGGAGAUGUACUGUAGACAUCUCUACAAUGGACCCUGAGCCAGAAGUGGUCCAUCGUGGAUCACAGUGCAACAUAAGAUGUUUACAUCGUUCAUUAGCUGUUCAGGUAAAGCCUCAGAUGGUGGAUGUGGGGACUCAAACCGAAAGGUUUGAGCAUCGCAGAUCAACUCCACUGGCCAGUCCUGAACAAAGUGAUGAUGAAUGGUCAUUUUCUGAUAUCAUCAACCAUUCUGGUGAUAUGUCAUGGAGUCCAGGGGAGGAGAUGUUGAGCGGGUCCUAUGAGGAGGAACCAGAAGAGCUGGAAUCUCUCAGUGACCCAAAUGCUGUUGACAAGUUCAUUGUUUGCCAGAGGCAGUUGCUGUCCUUGUUCACGGUUUGCCCUACAUGCUGUGGGGAAACCCAGGGACACAUAAUGCACCCGGAAGGAACUUUCAUAAAAGUCAAGCAGGCCUGCGGAACUUGAGGUUAUGAGCGUUACUGGCAAAACCAAGAGAAGGUGCAUCGAAACAUCCACUUCUCAGGUUGCAUGGCUACUCAGACAAUCAGGAUGCUGAAGCUGUUUGGACUGCAGUGCAUAAGUCCCGGCAAUUGCUGACACAACACAUGAAGCUGUUCAGGUAAAACCUCAGAUGGUGGAUGUGGGGACUCAAACCGAAAGGUUUGAGCAUCGCAGAUCAACUCCACUGGCCAGUCCUGAACAAAGUGAUGAUGAAUGGUCAUUUUCUGAUAUCAUCAACCAUUCUGGUGAUAUGUCAUGGAGUCCAGGGGAGGAGAUGUUGAGCGGGUCCUCUGAGGAGGAACCAGAAGAGCUGGAAUCUCUCAGUGACCCAAAUGCUGUUGACAAGUUCAUUGUUUGCCAGAGGCAGUUGCUGUCCUUGUUCACGGUUUGCCCUACAUGCUGUGGGGAAACCCAGGGACACAUAAUGCACCCGGAAGGAACUUUCAUAAAAGUCAAGCAGGCCUGCGGAACUUGAGGUUAUGAGCGUUACUGGCAAAACCAAGAGAAGGUGCAUCGAAACAUCCACUUCUCAGGUUGCAUGGCUACUCAGACAAUCAGGAUGCUGAAGCUGUUUGGACUGCAGUGCAUAAGUCCCGGCAAUUUUUCCGCCAUCAGCGCUAUUACACUAUCCCUACCAUUGUGCGGGCCUGGAGGAAUGAGCAGAGGGGGAUCAUCAGGGAGUUGAAGGAGACUGGGGUGGAUUGAUCCUGUCUGGUGACUGCAGAUCAGAUUCUCCUGGACACUGUGCCAAAUAUGGUAGCUACUCCUUGAUCGAGGAUCGAAUUAACAAGGUUUUGGAUGUUCAACUUGUCCAAAGCUCAGAAGUCCCAAGCAGCUCUUGGUGUGAGCUAGAGGGUCUAAAGCGGAGUAUGCAGUUCCUGAUGGACCAAGACAUGCAAGUGUCUGCUCUGAUAUAAGGCAGAAAUCGGCAGGUAAUGAUGCUAGGAGAGAUCUAAAGCUGAACAGCAUUGACAGGCACAGUAUCACUCAAAAUAAAUUCUAAAUUCUAUAAAAUCAGUUUGUUUUAGGCAACACAGUCUCACCCCUAUUCGUCACAUACUGCCGUUUGGUCAUUUCCCCCUCAUGUCCAUAAGCCGACGUUGAGGGUACCCCCUAUUCGUCGCUUGACAACGUAGAGGGUCGUCUGAUAGAUUUGAGUGCAAAUCCCUCAUCUUUGAAUUUUGACGAAAUGGGGUUAUCCAUCCAGCGGUUUGCCUGCGCUGGAAAGUAUGGUUUCAGGUGAUUGAUUUUAUGCUGCAAAUGUGUAUUUUGUAGUAGCGUGCGGCGCAAAUACUGUUAAAAUCAUUCAUUGGUGUGGUGACUAUACAUUUUCGUGGGGCAGAAACCGGUAUCACGACUUUUUCUGUCUCUUUUUUUAUAUAAUUUUGGGCUAACGUUACAUUAAAAUGACAUAUUUACAGGACUGUAUAUUUGCUGUAUGCUUAAUACAUGCCUUAAUUUAGGUGGGAUAUUUUAUAAUUUUCGAUCACAUACUGCUGUUUGGUCAUUUCCCCCUCACGUCCAUAAGCCGACGUUGAGGGUACCCCCUAUUCGUCGCUUGACAACGUAGAGGGUCGUCUGAUAGAUUUGAGUGCAAAUCCCUCAUCUUUGAAUUUUGACGAAAUGGGGUUAUCCAUCCAGCGGUUUGCCUGCGCUGGAAAGUAUGGUUUCAGGGGAUUAAUUUUAAUGCUGCAAAUUGUGUAUUUUGCAGUAGCGUGCAGCGCAUAUACUGUUACAGUCAUUCAUUGGUGCGGUGACUAUACAUUUUUGUGGGGCAGAAACCCUUGUCUAAAUCGGUAUCACGACUUUUUCUCUUUUUUAAUAUAAUUUAGGGCUACAUUAAAACGACAUAAUUGCACGACUGCAUAUUUGCUGUAGGCUUAAAACAUGCCUUAAUUUAGGUGGGAUAUUUUAUAAUUGUCGAUGGUAUUUCAAUUUGCAAUGGCUUAUAAUGAGCCUACAACUUUGCUUUUUUUGCGACAAAAAAAGAAUAGUCUACUUUUAUAGAUCUUUCAUCUCAAUACUGAUUAUGAAGUUGUGAAAAAUUAAAUAGCCUACUGCAGAAAUGUUUAUAUUGCUUAAUAUGGACAUAUCCUUUGGCAAAGAGAUGGAUGCAUUCUGGGAAGUGAUGUGUUUAAAUGUAAUGGCUACAUAUACCCGUGUUUCCUUCACUUAGACAUUUAUGCUGACCCUUUAAAAUUUUGAGCAAGGAUAUAAAAUAUUAAGACUGUACUUUUUCAUUAUGAUUGAUAUUUUGGCGCAAUUUUGUGCAACACGUCACUGUGUGCGACCAUCGCAGAAACCAUUGCCCAGCGCGAUUCCACCACGGUUCCUUAAUCCCUGUCCUUUUAAAAAAACAGCACCUCAUUACAUCGGGAAAAAAAAGGCACUUUUAAGAGCCACAUUUGUUUUGUAUCUUGUUACUCUCUCUACUGUUGUAUUGUGUUCUCUCUCUCUCUUGCUGUCUUACUGUCUCUCCCUCCCCUCUGAGUGGGGUUUUUGUUUGUUUGUUUUGUCUUUUUUUGUCCCUGAGUGUUUAUAGUGUGUUUAUAUUUUGUGCCAUGUCUGAUCCUGAGAUGGACCGUCUCCUGAAUGAGAUGAGUGACCUUGUUGAUCAGGCUGAACAUCAAGCUCACCUCCAACAGCUCAUUAGCAUGCACCAGGAAGCAGAACCAUCCACCGGUCAGCCUUC
ensembl:lncRNA